AAAUAACAGCAAUCAAACCAACGAGAAAGAGAGCGAGAACAAGAAAAUAACAAGAAAAUUAAUAAAAAAGAUGAAAAUAAUGAAAAAAAGGUAAAAAAAGGAAAACUGAGAAAAAGAACGAGAAUGAAGAAACUAAUGAACUAACUACCUGUCCUCUUUAAUUACCUGUGAUUCUUACAUGGAUAGUUACGAUAGUUAGGAUAGUUACGAUAGUUUACAGAGUGUCUACAGAAAGGUGGAGAGGAAUACAUAAUAACAUAGAGAGAUACAUAAGAUACAUAUACAAAAUUAAUACAUAAAAUAAUAAAUAGAACCUUUUUAAAACUAUCAAAUGGGAAGGAAAAAUAAGAGAUGGGAAAAGGAAAUGCAGGAAAGAAAGACGAAAAAAGAUGAAAAGUUGAAAUAGAAAGGAAAUGAAGAGAGAUUAACUGGUGUAUUGCAGAAAUCAAGUCUUUAAAUUAGAUCUUAGAGAGUA